UUAAUUGAAACCAAAAAGAGGUAUGUCACUGUUAAUGACACUAAUGAAAUAUAACUUUCCAAUUAAA
rnacentral:tRNA from 1 species